CACGUAGGGCGCAAGCGUUGUCCGGAAUUAUUGGGCGUAAAGAGCUCGUAGGCGGUCCGUCACGUCCGCUGUGAAAACCCAGGGCUCAACCCUGGGCUUGCAGUGGAUACGGGCAGACUAGAGGUAGGUAGGGGAGAAUGGAAUUCCCGGUGUAGCGGUGAAAUGCGCAGAUAUCGGGAGGAACACCGGUGGCGAAGGCGGUUCUCUGGGCCUUACCUGACGCUGAGGCGCGAAAGCCAGGGGAGCAAACAGGG
rnacentral:rRNA from 1 species